rnacentral:rRNA from 1 species
GAUGAACGCUGGCGGCGUGCCUAAUACAUGCAAGUCGAGCGAACAGACGAGGAGCUUGCUCCUCUGACGUUAGCGGCGGACGGGUGAGUAACACGUGGAUAACCUACCUAUAAGACUGGGAUAACUUCGGGAAACCGGAGCUAAUACCGGAUAAUAUAUUGAACCGCAUGGUUCAAUAGUGAAAGACGGUUUUGCUGUCACUUAUAGAUGGAUCCGCGCCGCAUUAGCUAGUUGGUAAGGUAACGGCUUACCAAGGUAACGAUGCGUAGCCGACCUGAGAGGGUGAUCGGCCACACUGGAACUGAGACACGGUCCAGACUCCUACAGGAGGCAGCAGUAGGGAAUCUUCCGCAAUGGGCGAAAGCUUGACGGAGCAACGCCGCGUGAGUGAUGAAGGUCUUCGGAUCGUAAAACUCUGUUAUUAGGGAAGAACAAAUGUGUAAGUAACUAUGCACGUCUUGACGGUACCUAAUCAGAAAGCCACGGCUAACUACGUG